rnacentral:rRNA from 1 species
GACGAACGCUGGCGGCGUGCUUAACACAUGCAAGUCGAACGGAAAGGCACUGAUUUUGUGGGGUGCUAGAGUGGCGAACGGGUGAGUAAGUCGCGCGUAACCUGCCCUUGACUCUGGGAUAACUUAAGGUAACUGGGGCUAAUAACGGCCAGGUGCUCCCGCUGCAUGGUGGGGGUUGGAAAGUUACGGCGGUUGGGGCUGGAAACGCGGCUUAUCAGCUUGUUGGUGGGGUAGUGGCUUACCAAGGCUUUGAAGGGUAGCCGACCUGGGAGGGUAAACGGCCACAUUGGGACUGGGAUGCGGCCGAGACGCCUACGGGGGGCAGCAGUGGAGAAUAUUGCACAAAGGGCGGAUGCCUGAUGCAGCAACGCCGCGUGCGAGAUGACGGCCUUCGGGUUGUAAGCCGCUUUCGCGUGUGACGAGGCGGAAUUGACGGUAAUGGAUAAAGAAGCACCGCCUAACUACGU